UUCGGUAAAAGUUAAAUACCGAGGGCAUUUGCCCUUCGAUAACGCCUACUAUGCUUUUAGGUUCAAAAGAGUAUUUGUUCCUCAAAUGAACCUAAAUUUCCCAAAAGUAGAACUCCCUCCCUCUGUCGAACUCACUCCUUAACUUAGGGUUGCAGUCAACCGGUUCGUUGCAGUUUGACGACGCGAGUUUGGUGGUGUGGAUGCUAACGGAGGUUCGUUGCUGGAUGGCGCUCUUCCAUUCCCUACUCUCUGUUCGAAGCGGUUCGUGGGUUUGAAGCGUGAGGUUGUCGCCCUAAUGCGGUUUAAAGCGGUUGCUGUUGCGGACGUUGAUGGCAGUUCGUUGGUGGCUGGUUUGCGGACGCUGACGGCGGUUCGUUGGGAUUGGGCCGCGAAUGUUGUUGUCGGAGAUGUCAAGGCAGAGAAGGAGGCAGAGGUUUUUGUGAAGGUCAAGCCCACCACAGAGGUUGACGGAAGGGAGGGAGAGGCCCAUCACUCUGCCGUUUGGGGAGCACUCGAUGCCGAGCCACACAUUUACUUUUUCUAUAUCUGACUAUUGCAUUAUAAAUUUGAUCCAGAUGAUAGAUUCGGCAAAGGGAUGAUACAGGUGGGGUGCAUCGAGCUCGUCAUGGUCCUUCGUGUCGACAAGGAAAAGGGUUACAUCGAUCUCAGAGAGUGUAGGGUCUACGAAGAGGAUAUUCAGGCCUACGAGGAGAGAUACAACAAGAGCAAGCUCGUCCACUCCAUCAUGCGCCAAAUUGUUGAAAUCCUCAACAUCGAUUUGGAGAACCCAGCAUGUUAUUCNUGGAAUCUCCUGUUGGAGUUGGCUUUUCAUACUUAUACAAGCGGUGACUAUGACCAAUUGGGAGAUGAUUUAACAGUUGAGCUUAUCACAAGGGUUGUUUGUCAACCAGCUAACUGGUGCCCAGCUGCAAAUGUAAACUAAAGAUUGGAAGCAUAUUUCUUGAAUACAUUUUGGGCCCUGCAGUCCUUGUUGCUUCCUUCAUUUUUCCCUCACUCUAUUUACGCAAAGUGCUUUCCAUCAUUUUCGAGGACUCUUUGUUAACAGGUCAUAACUACGACACCAGGGGGGUGGAUAUCGUGAAAGGGUUGUGGCUUUAGAUCAAAUGGACCAAUCCAAGAAGUUGCAUGAGGCAACUAGUUGUCUGGCAUGAAUGGUGCAGUUGACUUGAUUAGGGAAGCAAAGCCAAAGACAUGUCUAAUUUUAUGUAUUUGUUUUGUUCAAUUUUCUUCAUUUUCCCCUUUCUUUUUCUCUGGGCCCGAAGAACUGUAGGGCAUUUUCUUCUUAUAGUUUUAUGUAGAUGUUUAGUUUUGAGACUUUUGCCACAUAAAGCACCCUUUGUUUUAGACCUUGGUGA